rnacentral:ncRNA from 1 species
GCCCUCGUCGUGUCCGGUAGUAGUAAUACCCGGGCGGUCAGCUUACAGACCGUAGGAGCACGUAACGGGGGCUU